CCAGGCGUUGUGGCGGGCGCCUGUGAUCCCAGCUACUUGGGAGGCUGAGGCAGGAGACUCUCUUGAGCCCAGGAGUUGGAGGUUGCUGUGAGC
rnacentral:miRNA from 1 species